GAGUUUGAUUCUGGCUCAGGAUGAACGCUGGCGGCGUGCCUAAUACAUGCAAGUCGAGCGAGAAUCUGAACGACGGAGACUUCGGUCAAAGGAAUUCAGAGGAAAGCGGCGGACGGGUGAGUAACGCGUGGGCAACCUGCCCCAUACAGAGGGAUAGCAGUUGGAAACGACUAUUAAUACCUCAUACUCCGGUUUUAUCGCAUGAUAGAACCGGGAAAGAUUUAUCGGUAUGGGAUGGGCCCGCGUCUGAUUAGCUAGUUGGUGAGGUAACGGCUCACCAAGGCGACGAUCAGUAGCCAACCUUAGAGGGUGAUUGGCCACACUGGAACUGAGACACGGUCCAGACUCCUACGGGAGGCAGCAGUAGGGAAUAUUGGGCAAUGGGGGCAACCCUGGCCCAGCAACGCCGCGUGAACGAUGAAAAUCUUCGGAUUGUAAAGUUCUUUUCUUGAGGAAGAAGAAAAGGACG
rnacentral:rRNA from 1 species